GAAGGAAUAGCUCAGUGGUAGAGUGAAUGCCUAGCAUGCAUGACGUCCUGGGUUCAAUCCCCAGUACCUCUC
rnacentral:tRNA from 1 species